CCCUUAGAUGUUCUGGGCCGCACGCGUGCUACACUGAGUAAUUCAAUGGGUAAGGGAACGCUAGAGCAUUACCUAAUCUUGAAAUUUGCUCGUGAUGGGGAUCGACGGUUGCAAUUUUCCGUCGUGAACGAGGAAUACCUUGUAGGCGCAUGUCAUCAUCAUGCGCCGAAUACGUCCCUGCCCUUUGUACACACCGCCCGUCGCUCCUACCGAUUGAGUGAUCCGGUGAGGCUCUGGGACCUGGACGGAAAAAGCGUUUCGCUUGUUCUGUUUGGGAAACUUGGUCGAACCUUAUCAUUUAGAGGAAGGAGAAGUCGUAACA
rnacentral:rRNA from 1 species